CUUCAAAUAUAUCAUCUCCUCUUACUCUUUUUUUCCCUUGUUGAUUCCUUUGCCUUUAUUUUCCUUUACUUUUUCUUGGAUCACCUUCUCGACUCCUCCACUUCUGACGCUGAUUAGUCUCUUCUUAUUGAUCGCACUUACAAGCUCAAUUCCCUUUUCCCUCGUGCUACCAAUCACUUCAUUCCAAAACAUGCUUUGCAUCAUAACUCCAUGUCCUUAAUCCUCACACCUGAUCUCAACAUCAAGGUAAAACCUUAAUUUUUUGAUUAAUGAUUGUAAUUUUGUUAUUUCUUUCUUUCCUUUCAAUCUUUUUGGUGGUUAUGUGGGUUUUUUUUUUGUUUUCUGCAAGUAUUUCCAAUGCUAGAUUCGCAGAGUCUUUGCUACACCCUGCAACGUGUUCGAUGUUUAACAAGUGUGCCAUGGAUCCUUUAUGCUAUGUGAAUAUUGACCUCACCAUUGUUAUGCCCAAGGGACAAUUGGAUUAUCAGCCUUCAGCAAGUUUCAAUUAUGCUUUGAUGAGCCCCAAAUGAGAUCAUCAUAAUUGCAAGGUGGUGUUUCAAGACAUCCAUGACGAAGAGACAUAAUUAUGAUGCCUAAAAUUGCCUCUUGAGACAGUUAACAACAAAGUCAAGGCUAUAUAUAAUAAGAGGAAAAGUGAAUCCAAGAAACAGUUUAUUGCUCUGUUAUUCACAUCAGCUAAAAUAUAGGCAACUUUUGUCUUUGCUAAUUCUGAUAUGCCCUUGCUAAAAAGGUUUGGAAAAAAUAAAGCACGACUUGCAUUUUAAUGCAUUGCUUUUAAUAGCAAUGACAAAAUGAAUUGAGGUCGAUCCUCUAUCACUUCUUUUUGGUGGGUCUUUUAAUUUCAAGGCUAAACAUCUCUGUCGAAAGCCUCUCACAAUUAGUUGAAGCAGAUCAAAUGCCAAUGACCACAAGAUAUAAGCUCUUUAUUGUAUUCUUUGAUUCAUUACUAUUGAUUCAAACCAAUAAUUUAUAUGUAAAAAGAUGAUGGAGUUUUACAGGAUUAUCUGAUCGAUGUC